rnacentral:ncRNA from 2 species
GGUCAAGAGAGUCACCCACGCCUUCGGACAGUGGUGGCCGGCAACCGCGUCGCUCGACACGGUGCCCUCCGGAGAAGACCUGGGCCCCGCCAACCGGUGGGGUCAAGACGGGCAC